AUCACUUGGGGUUCUUGUUAAAAUGCAGAUUCUGAGUCAGUAGUUCCCAAGAAUGGAUUGAGAUUAUGCAUUUCUAAUGAGCUUCCAGGUGAUGCUGA
rfam:Pongo abelii chromosome 6.